AUGGAGAAGAUCAACAGGGAGGCGAGUUGGAGACAAUCUGCAUCAAGAUUAGUAGAGGGGGAGAACAGCAGCGGGGUAAGAGAAAGAAACAACAGUUUUGGUUCAGAGAAGAGCAAAAGCAAGAGGUGUGGGAGAGAAGAAGCAGCAGGAGCGUUGAGAAAGGAGCAGCAGCAGGUUCGUGGGGGAAGGAGCAGCAGCAAAAGGUUCAGAGAAGAGGCAGGGAGCAGCAAGGUAGGCGAAGCGAGCAGCAGCGGGGCUUGGAGAGAGGAGAAGGAGGAGCAGCAGGGGCGCAACAAGAAGAGUAGCGGGGAUGCGGGAAGAAGAAGUAGAAGGGCAGCAGCAGGGUUAGGAGAAGAAGAAAGGUGGAGGAGCGGCAGGGAGAUGCUUGGGCGGUGGCGCGAGGUGAUGAGGCGGCGCUGUGGAUGGUGGUGA
rnacentral:rRNA from 1 species